rnacentral:rRNA from 1 species
AGGACGAACGCUGGCGGCGUGCCUAACACAUGCAAGUCGAACGGAGAAUCACAACUGAAAUUGAUAUUAGCUUAGCUUAUGGAUUUUCGCCCGUGAUUCUUAGUGGCGGACGGGUGAGUAACGCGUGAGCAACCUGCCUUUGAGAGGGGAAUAACAACCGGAAACGAUUGCUAAUACCGCAUAAUGUCGUCGGACCGCAUGAUCUGACGACCAAAGAUUUAUCGCUCAAAGAUGGGCUCGCGUCUGAUUAGAUAGUUGGUGGGGUAACGGCCUACCAAGUCGACGAUCAGUAGCCGGACUGAGAGGUUGAACGGCCACAUUGGGACUGAGAUACGGCCCAGACUCCUACGGGAGGCAGCAGUGGGGAAUAUUGCACAAUGGGCGCAAGCCUGAAUGCAGCAACGCCGCGUGCGGGAAGACGGUCUUCGGAUUGUAAACCGCUUUUCUUGGAGAAGAAACAAAUGACGGUAUCCAAGGAAUAAGCAUCGGCUAACUACGUGCCAGCCGCCGC